CUCCGUACAUAUUUCACUUUUGAAAUUUCACCAGAACUCUCAAAAUGUAAAAUGCUACCUGACUUUUUUUUACUGUACAUAUGUAAAGACUAAUCUAUUGGAAACCAAGCAAUUUUUAUGCUGUUUACACACAUUUGAGAUCUGACUCGACUUCCCUUGCAGUCAUACCUGGCAGCUGAAAUAUCUUACAGCCAGACAUGGAGAGUAAAAACAUUCCUUUUCUGCUUUACACUCUUUUGUAAUUACACCUGAAUUUCGUUUCAGCUGUCAUUCCCUUUCCACUUUUCUUGACUGGAAAUCAAAAAAGGUAUUUAGUUACCAAACCAUCUUCCUGCUUUCAUGUAAUCUAAAAGCUGCCCCUCUAAGGAUUUAAACCAUACUCUAGUUCCUGACUUAGGCAGACAGUAGCAGAAUUGAAUCUGAAAUCUGAAAAGCACGAUCCCUUCUGGGUUUUUCUUGCUGUUUGAGCAUUAUCAAGAACUUUUCAUUUUUUCUCUCUGCUGAGCAGUGUGAAUGGCUGAAGAGCAAAUUACUCCAUCCUCAGAGCCAAAGUGAAUCUCUUAUAAAGAGAUACCAUGAUAUCAGCCCAUGAAGACAAUGAGAAGGCUGGCAUCCUUAGUGCUUUUAACAUCCCUGCUCUGACACGAGGUGAUGCACUAGCCUGCAAGCUUUUGGCUGCUGGAGGAAAAUGUGCAGACGUCCUGAGAGAUUAGAUAUGUCCAUCUGAGCCUCAAAGAAGUGGAAACUAAACGACUGUAACAUGUCAAAGGCCUCAGCUUCUGUCCCUUUUUGGAGGACCUUGUCCUGUACGUGUGCACUGGCAUUUCAGCCAGCUCUGGACACGGGGAUGGGAGCAGAGAGAGCAGGCCUCAGUCCUCCUUCCCCCUGCCCCAAAUGGCGCUGCUGACCUGGAGCCCCGGCAGCAUGGGCAGGGGCGUGAGGCAGCGCUGGGCCCACAGGAGAUAAGGGCUGAUGGAUGGCGUGGAUGGCCUGGCGGCUGAGAUAACGCUGGGACCUGCCCAGAAAGUAUGCGGUGGGAGGAGAUGUUCCCUGCUGCUGCCACAGCUCUAUCUCCCGCUGCUCUUUGGGAAGAGGUCAUUGCACGAGGCACCAUUUAUAACCGGCGCCAUCAGCACCCUACCUCUAGCAGCCAGCAUGAAGUUCCAGAGGUCUCCAGAUGAGCCAGAAGCCAGCAUAUGCAGUUUGGCAGAUGAAGAAUCAGUGCAGUCAACACAUGCCGUGAAGCAGACCUUGAUUUUGUUCAAACAAUAAGAAAAACUGACUAGUCCUAAAAGAACAGCAUAUUCCAGCCUAAAAGAUAUAAAUAAAACUGAGAAAAAUAUGUGGAGUGUGGAUGAA
rnacentral:lncRNA from 1 species